CCUACGGGAGGCAGCAGUGGGGGAUAUUGCACAAUGGGGGAAACCCUGAUGCAGCGACGCCGCGUGAGGGAAGACGGUCCUCUGGUUUGUAAACCACUGUCCUCAGGGACAAAGAUGACGGUACCUGAGGAGGAAGCCCCGGCUAACUACGUGCCAGCAGCCGCGGUAAUACGUAGGGAGCGAGCGUUGUCCGGAAUUACUGGGUGUAAAGGGAGCGUAGGCGGGAAUGCAAGUUGGUUGUAAAAACUACCGGCUAAACCGGUAGACGCAGUCCACACUGGAGUUCGUGAGUGAAGUAGAGGCAGGCGGAAUGCCGAGUGUAGCGGUGAAAUGCGUAGAUAUUAGGAGGAACACCAGUGGCGAAGGCGGCCUGCUGGGCUUUAACUGACGCUGAGGCUCGAAAGUGUGGGGAGCAAACAGGAUUAGAUACCCGAGUAGUC
rnacentral:rRNA from 1 species